rnacentral:rRNA from 1 species
CUUAGAACGAACGCUGGCGGCGUGCUUAACACAUGCAAGUCGAACGCGAAAGGGACUUCGGUCCUGAGUAAAGUGGCGCACGGGUGAGUAACGCGUAGAUAACCUGUCUUCAUGUCUGGAAUAAUACGCCGAAAGGGGUACUAAUACCGGAUAUUCUUGCUUUUCAUAAGUUAUGCAAGCAAAGGUGGCCUCUGCAUAUGCUACUGCAUGAAGAGGGGUCUGCGUACCAUUAGCUAGUAGGUGGGGUAAUGGCCUACCUAGGCGACGAUGGUUAGCGGGUCUGAGAGGAUGAUCCGCCACACUGGCACUGGAACACGGGCCAGACUCCUACGGGAGGCAGCAGUGAGGAAUAUUGCGCAAUGGGGGAAACCCUGACGCAGCGACGCCGCGUGAGUGAGGAAAGGCCUUCGGGUCGUAAAGCUCUGUCAAGAGGAAAGAAGUGUACAAUGGCUAAUACCUGUUGUAUUUGACGGUACCUCUAAAGGAAGCACCGGCUAACUCCGUGCCAGCAGCUGC